GUGCUUGCUUCGGCAGCACAUAUACUAAAAUUGGAAUGAUACAGAGAAGAUUAGCAUGGCCCCUGUGCAAGGAUGACAUGCAAAUUCGUGAAGCAUUCCAUAUUUUU
rnacentral:snRNA from 1 species